AAGUCUCGCAACCACUUCAGUAUGAAUGGUGGAGCUGCACCGUAAAACUCUGGUGCAGCAAUUAAGAAAGUUAGUUAAUACAGACGCAGAUAGAGAGACAGAGACACAUGGUUUCCUGAUGUGUUGAUUUUUAUUCUGCAGCGCAAAAGAUUGAAAGUGAAAGAAAAUGUGUCAGCGCUGGUGUAGAUGUGCGCCUCGCAAAUGUUGGCAGUUGAAAAAGAAAAAGACGUGCAAAGUUUGCGCCUGACCGCCAGUGAUGUGGGUUUGCUGUGAAGACUUUCUGAUGAAGAGGAGAACGAAGACUGACAAACUGGGCUAAGGUGCAGGAUUGAGAAACGUCUCACCACAGGACCAUCAGGCUAGUUUCCACCACAUUUACCCAUCCUGACAACUGAUGGGGAAACCACCUCAGCGAAGCUCAUCGGGUAGGAGUUAACAUUUGACAUAUUGCUGAGUCAGUUUGGGGUCAUGACAUCAUCAUCAUGAGAUGGGGCGGCUGCUGAGUGGUGACCACAGGCAGCGACAGAAGACGUGGUGCUGUAUGUCCUUGUUUGCAGCUGCUGGUUCUUGGCAAAAAAACGUGUGGUGGAGUUGCCUCAGGGAAAAAUUUGCUCAAUUGUUGAAAGCAAAAACAAAUUCAAGAGAUUUGCAAGGGCAGUAAGUACGAUUUUUAUUGUUGCAUUGCACCAGAUGACCAUAAAACACCUGCAGGAGGUCGAUAGUGUUUGUAAUUGUCCAGGUGCUGAGGUGUGUUAGCUUUCCAAACUCUUUCCUUUUCUUUUAGUUUCGCUUGUGGGCUGUUUUGGCUCAAAAUCCCCAGACAAAGUGAAGUCAUGCAGAUGCUGUUAAAAUCCCAGCUGGUGGUGAACACAGCAAGUAACACAUAAGUAAAUUAGUACUAUGUAUAUAUAUAUAUAUAUAUAUAUAUAUAUCAUGAAGAGACAAGCUGAAAAAAAACAGUUGAAAGUGUUGAAUUAUUAAUAUUUUAGUGAUUUGCAGGCAUCUAUAGACUUUCAAUGAAAAGGACUAAAAUAAGUUGGGAUAAAAUCUAAUCAAAUAGAUUUUAAUAUCAUUUUAUUUCUUACAGUUGUGUAUAAAUUGUGAAACACUUUUUUCACAACCAUAAACUGUUCUAUAAUAAUAUUUUUAAUCACUAAUGAUUUAUUUUAAAAGAUGAUCACUAACGAUUUUUAUUGGCAGCUCUGUAAUUUCUCUUGUAAUUUGGGUUCACGGCAGCUUUAUACUUUGUUAACUUGAAAUAAAUGAGUUAGUGCUGAAACCUUGCAUGUAACUUUUCCUUGCGUGAGGAAUCUAUGCUGCUAGUCCUGAUUUACUAUCUAAGAAAUCAAAAGUCAAAAUAUCUUACAAGGUUUGGUUCUUUGUUCACUAAAUUCACUAGGUUUGGCAGGGAGAUUGGCACUAGCAGACACAUAAGAGCAGUAAGACACAAGAAACACACACAACCACUGACUUGAAAGAAUAAUAGAAAAUAUAAUUAAUAGAAAAUACAUUUAUGAAAGGUUCUGUUCAGUUUCAUUUCUCUGGUAUACCUUACUUCCUUUUUCUUACAUUUUUCAUUGUCUUUAGAAAACCAAAUUAGUUCCACCUGACUCAAAUCUACCUAAGUCAAAUAUAACAUGGAAAUAAUUAGAAAACAAAUAAAUGUACAGCCAAAA